ensembl:lncRNA
GAGCUAUUUCAGGCCCCCGAGGUGCUUGUAAGGUCUGCGUGGAGGGGAAAUUGAGACGCGUCGCCCCCUCCUCCUCCCACGCCCGCGGAGUCUGGGGCAGUGCAGGGGAGA